rnacentral:rRNA from 1 species
UACGGAGGGUGCAAGCGUUAUCCGGAUUCACUGGGUUUAAAGGGUGCGUAGGUGGGUUGGUAAGUCAGUGGUGAAAUCUCCGAGCUUAACUUGGAAACUGCCAUUGAUACUAUCAGUCUUGAAUAUUGUGGAGGUCAGCGGAAUAUGUCAUGUAGCGGUGAAGUGCUUAGAUAUGACAUAGAACACCAAUUGCGAAGGCAGCUUACUACCCGAAUAUUGACACUGAGGCACGAAAGCGUGGGGAUCAAACAGG